rnacentral:lncRNA from 1 species
UCCUCCUAUUCUUACAGUGUGGAACUCCAGAGUAGUAAGUUUUUUCUUCAUAUUUGUUCAAAUUUGGCAAAGAAAGUGCAUAGAAAAUAAUCAAAAUUUCUUCUGAAUACAGUAUUGAUCAGCCUCAUCAGAGAUACGAAGAGGCAAUGGAUAGUUAACUGCAGAGUAAGUACCUUGUACACACUUGUAUUUUCCGACCAGUGAAGCUUGAUGUUAUGGUCUGAUGCCAUUUUUUACACUUGUACAUGUGAACAUAAAUCACAUAUGUAUUUUACAUCAUGGAUUUAUAUUCAUGUCAUUCAAUCUGCUAGAGCCAAUUUUUAGUUGCAAAACAGGCCUGAGAUAAUGUCCUAUUUUAUGUGAGUUUGAAUAGGGAACAUGAAGUUGACUAGCACACAAUUACUAGAGUUUAAAGUGUAUUGUCAGGUCUAUGCUUCUCUCGGUGUUAGUUUUUUUGUUAGCUAAAGCUUGCCAUUCUGAUGGAACUUUGUACGGCACAUAUAUUUUGAGUAAAUUACUUGAAUUACAGACUCAAUGUACAUACUAUACCUCACUUACCACUACGAGCUACUAUUUAGGGAGAAUUUGUGUUGCUGAAAUUCCACGUGUAAAGACAUGUUUCGUAGAUCUACAUGUCUAGAUUCUCUUUGUUUUUAAAAAGUGCAGUUUUAUGUUGCACUUCUUUAUUGAAUCCAGGCCUGCAUAGCAUACCCCGAAAGUCUUAAAUCUGCAGCUAUGUGGAAUUGGCUCUUAAUUUCGUAGCUCUGCAAUUUUUGUACUUAAACAAGUACUCCCUCCUUAAACUAAUAUAAGAGCAUUUAGAUUAGUACUUUAGUGAUCUAAACACACUUAUAUUAGUUUACAGAGGGAGGAGUUUGGUAAUGCUUUGUACUUUGGGGAUGGGGACACAUUUCACAUGAUACAUGUAGGGAUCCAAGUUACGGUCCCGCUAGAACCUGCUUUAUUUCCUUUCAUCACGCUAAUCCUUUGUUAAGAAAGUUUGAUCUUAACAUUUUCCUUUUAGGCUCUGUUUUAGGGUGUUCUCCUUUUUGGGAAUAUGCAAACUAGGCUGCCCAAGCAGUUUGGGUAUAGAUGGGACCUUGGAAAGGGUGAUUCAAUGUUUUGGGAGGAUAAAUGGAUAACUAACUAUCAUUUAUGCACCACUUAUUUGAAUCUUUAUAAUAUCUGUAAUGAGAAGAACCAUUCAACUUGUCUAUGAUGAACAAUUUCUCUUUGGAUAAUGGUUUCUGCUGUUGGUUCACAUUUCUCUUUGGAUAAUGAUCCCCCCAGGAGGAUGUUGCAUUCUGCUGGGGUGUAUAUUGUGCAAUUUAUUUAGAAGAAAUAGUUUGGCUUGUCGUUUAUAACCCAUCUGCUCUACAGGUCAUGCUGUUUUCUCCCAUUGCCGAGGCACAGCUGAGAGGAGUUUCGAUGUUCCAAUGCUGGCAAGAUUUAAGUUGAAGGCUGCGGCUACGAGCUUGUGGGCUGAUUCGCAAUGCGUUCCAGUUUGAUCAAAUUCUCCAAAAGUUGCACUGAUGAGCCAAUGCAUUGCUGAGUGAAUCUUUUUGUAAUUUUCUGUUGCUUAGGUCUACUUACUGAAUCAGUGAAUCUUAUUGAUUCAUGUUGCUCAUUACUUCCUUGUAAAAAAUUAACA